AACGAACGCUGGCGGCAUGCCUAACACAUGCAAGUCGAACGAGACCUUCGGGUCUAGUGGCGCACGGGUGCGUAACGCGUGGGAACCUGCCCUUAGGUUCGGAAUAACUCCCCGAAAGGGGUGCUAAUACCGGAUAAUGUCUUCGGACCAAAGAUCUAUCGCCUUUGGAUGGGCCCGCGUUGGAUUCGCUAGUUGGUAGGGUAAAAGCCUACCAAGGCGACGAUCCAUAGCUGGUCUGAGAGGAUGAUCAGCCAGACUGGGACUGAGACACGGCCCAGACUCCUACGGGAGGCAGCAGUGGGGAAUAUUGGACAAUGGGCGAAGGCCUGAUCCAGCAAUGCGGCGUGAGUGAUGAAGGCCUUAGGGUUGUAAAGCUCUUUUACCCGGGAUGAUAAUGACAGUACCGGGAGAAUAAGCUCCGGCUAACUCCGUG
rnacentral:rRNA from 1 species